GUGCCAUUCCAGGAUAUCCUGGAUGGUCUUAUAUUGACGCCCGUUCUCCUGCUGUCUUGAAGGAGUUGCCGCGGACUCUGGACCAUGUUGCGGACCUCGGCCUUCCUAUACACUUCGACUGUGUAUCUCCUGAGGUCUAUGCUGAUCUCUGUCGGAUGCACCAUAGCUUGUACGAGAGGCUAUAUCAAGAGAUGGAGAAGACCUUGGCUCAGGAGGUGGAGAUUUCUGAUCUUCAGCAGAGUUUGCGGGCCCUUCGGAUUCAGUUUUGUGUGGAGGUGGCCGGGGACAACAUGAUCUCCGCGGUUGAGCUCAGCUCCUCAGAUGACAACGCCCAGUCUUAGAGAUUUUUUUUUUUUUUCUU